rnacentral:rRNA from 1 species
CCGCCUGGGUACUACAAGCAUUAGCUCAAAACCCAAAGGACUUGGCGGUGCUUUAGACCCACCUAGAGGAGCCUGUUCUAGAACCGAUAAUCCCCGUUCAACCUCACCCUUCCUUGCUUCUUCCGCCUAUAUACCACCGUCGUCAGCUUACCCUGUGAAGGGUAAAGAGUAAGCAAAACUGGCAUCACCCAGUACGUCAGGUCGAGGUGUAGCGAAUGGAAGGGAAGAAAUGGGCUACAUUCCCUAUCUUGGGAACCACGAAUGAUGCACUGAAAUGUGUACCUAAAGGAGGAUUUAGCAGUAAGUGGAUAUUAGAGCAUUCUACUGAAACUGGCUCUUAAGCGCGCACACACCGCCCGUCACCUCUGC